rnacentral:ncRNA from 1 species
CGACGUCUCUGGAAAGCGGUGGGAGCACCCACCCGCCCACGGGGAAAGGGCCCGUCCACACCUGGACGCCGGUACCGAAUCUCUCAGGCGCUCGAACGCGAGCAGGCGACAGAGGGGGAGG